rnacentral:rRNA from 1 species
GCGGGAAGAGCUCAAAUUUGAAAUCUAGUAGCCUUCGGCUGCUCGAGUUGUAAUCUAGAGAAGUGUUUUCCGUGCCGGCCCAUGUACAAGUCCCUUGGAACAGGGCGUCAUAGAGGGUGAGAAUCCCGUCCUUGACAUGGACCCCCGGUGCUCUGUGAUACACUUUCAACGAGUCGAGUUGUUUGGGAAUGCAGCUCAAAAUGGGUGGUGAAUUCCAUCUAAAGCUAAAUAUUGGCGAGAGACCGAUAGCGAACAAGUACCGUGAGGGAAAGAUGAAAAGCACUUUGGAAAGAGAGUUAAACAGUACGUGAAAUUGUUGAAAGGGAAACGAUUGAAGUCAGUCAUGCUCUUUGGUAUUUAUAUCAUUGAGUGGGGUCAACAUCAGUUUUGAUCGAUGGAUAAAGGCACUAGGAAGGUAGCACUCUCGGGUGAACUUAUAGCCUAGCGUCAUAUACAUUGAUUGGGACUGAGGAACGCAGCAUGCCUUUAUGGCCGGGAUUCGUCCACGUACAUGCUUAGGAUGUUGACAUAAUGGCUUUAAACGACCCGUCUUGAAA